rnacentral:rRNA from 1 species
UUAAGCGACUAAGCGUACACGGUGGAUGCCCUGGCAGUCAGAGGCGAUGAAGGACGUGCUAAUCUGCGAUAAGCGUCGGUAAGGUGAUAUGAACCGUUAUAACCGGCGAUUUCCGAAUGGGGAAACCCAGUGUGUUUCGACACACUAUCAUUAACUGAAUCCAUAGGUUAAUGAGGCGAACCGGGGGAACUGAAACAUCUAAGUACCCCGAGGAAAAGAAAUCAACCGAGAUUCCCCCAGUAGCGGCGAGCGAACGGGGAGCAGCCCAGAGCCUGAAUCAGCGUGUGUGUUAGUGGAAGCGUCUGGAAAGGCGCGCGAUACAGGGUGACAGCCCCGUACACAAAAAUGCACAUGCUGUGAGCUCGAUGAGUAGGGCGGGACACGUGGUAUCCUGUCUGAAUAUGGGGGGACCAUCCUCCAAGGCUAAAUACUCCUGACUGACCGAUAGUGAACCAGUACCGUGAGGGAAAGGCGAAAAGAACCCCGGCGAGGGGAGUGAAAAAGAACCUGAAACCGUGUACGUACAAGCAGUGGGAGCACGCUUAGGCGUGUGACUGCGUACCUUUUGUAUAAUGGGUCAGCGACUUAUAUUCUGUAGCAAGGUUAACCGAAUAGGGGAGCCGAAGGGAAACCGAGUCUUAACUGGGCGUUAAGUUGCAGGGUAUAGACCCGAAACCCGGUGAUCUAGCCAUGGGCAGGUUGAAGGUUGGGUAACACUAACUGGAGGACCGAACCGACUAAUGUUGAAAAAUUAGCGGAUGACUUGUGGCUGGGGGUGAAAGGCCAAUCAAACCGGGAGAUAGCUGGUUCUCCCCGAAAGCUAUUUAGGUAGCGCCUCGUGAAUUCAUCUCCGGGGGUAGAGCACUGUUUCGGCAAGGGGGUCAUCCCGACUUACCAACCCGAUGCAAACUGCGAAUACCGGAGAAUGUUAUCACGGGAGACACACGGCGGGUGCUAACGUCCGUCGUGAAGAGGGAAACAACCCAGACCGCCAGCUAAGGUCCCAAAGUCAUGGUUAAGUGGGAAACGAUGUGGGAAGGCCCAGACAGCCAGGAUGUUGGCUUAGAAGCAGCCAUCAUUUAAAGAAAGCGUAAUAGCUCACUGGUCGAGUCGGCCUGCGCGGAAGAUGUAACGGGGCUAAACCAUGCACCGAAGCUGCGGCAGCGACACUAUGUGUUGUUGGGUAGGGGAGCGUUCUGUAAGCCUGUGAAGGUGUGCUGUGAGGCAUGCUGGAGGUAUCAGAAGUGCGAAUGCUGACAUAAGUAACGAUAAAGCGGGUGAAAAGCCCGCUCGCCGGAAGACCAAGGGUUCCUGUCCAACGUUAAUCGGGGCAGGGUGAGUCGACCCCUAAGGCGAGGCCGAAAGGCGUAGUCGAUGGGAAACAGGUUAAUAUUCCUGUACUUGGUGUUACUGCGAAGGGGGGACGGAGAAGGCUAUGUUGGCCGGGCGACGGUUGUCCCGGUUUAAGCGUGUAGGCUGGUUUUCCAGGCAAAUCCGGAAAAUCAAGGCUGAGGCGUGAUGACGAGGCACUACGGUGCUGAAGCAACAAAUGCCCUGCUUCCAGGAAAAGCCUCUAAGCAUCAGGUAACAUCAAAUCGUACCCCAAACCGACACAGGUGGUCAGGUAGAGAAUACCAAGGCGCUUGAGAGAACUCGGGUGAAGGAACUAGGCAAAAUGGUGCCGUAACUUCGGGAGAAGGCACGCUGAUAUGUAGGUGAGGUCCCUCGCGGAUGGAGCUGAAAUCAGUCGAAGAUACCAGCUGGCUGCAACUGUUUAUUAAAAACACAGCACUGUGCAAACACGAAAGUGGACGUAUACGGUGUGACGCCUGCCCGGUGCCGGAAGGUUAAUUGAUGGGGUUAGCGCAAGCGAAGCUCUUGAUCGAAGCCCCGGUAAACGGCGGCCGUAACUAUAACGGUCCUAAGGUAGCGAAAUUCCUUGUCGGGUAAGUUCCGACCUGCACGAAUGGCGUAAUGAUGGCCAGGCUGUCUCCACCCGAGACUCAGUGAAAUUGAACUCGCUGUGAAGAUGCAGUGUACCCGCGGCAAGACGGAAAGACCCCGUGAACCUUUACUAUAGCUUGACACUGAACAUUGAGCCUUGAUGUGUAGGAUAGGUGGGAGGCUUAGAAGUGUGGACGCCAGUCUGCAUGGAGCCGACCUUGAAAUACCACCCUUUAAUGUUUGAUGUUCUAACGUUGACCCGUAAUCCGGGUUGCGGACAGUGUCUGGUGGGUAGUUUGACUGGGGCGGUCUCCUCCUAAAGAGUAACGGAGGAGCACGAAGGUUGGCUAAUCCUGGUCGGACAUCAGGAGGUUAGUGCAAUGGCAUAAGCCAGCUUGACUGCGAGCGUGACGGCGCGAGCAGGUGCGAAAGCAGGUCAUAGUGAUCCGGUGGUUCUGAAUGGAAGGGCCAUCGCUCAACGGAUAAAAGGUACUCCGGGGAUAACAGGCUGAUACCGCCCAAGAGUUCAUAUCGACGGCGGUGUUUGGCACCUCGAUGUCGGCUCAUCACAUCCUGGGGCUGAAGUAGGUCCCAAGGGUAUGGCUGUUCGCCAUUUAAAGUGGUACGCGAGCUGGGUUUAGAACGUCGUGAGACAGUUCGGUCCCUAUCUGCCGUGGGCGCUGGAGAACUGAGGGGGGCUGCUCCUAGUACGAGAGGACCGGAGUGGACGCAUCACUGGUGUUCGGGUUGUCAUGCCAAUGGCACUGCCCGGUAGCUAAAUGCGGAAGAGAUAAGUGCUGAUAGCAUCUAAGCACGAAACUUGCCCCGAGAUGAGUUCUCCCUGACCCUUUAAGGGUCCUGAAGGAACGUUGAAGACGACGACGUUGAUAGGCCGGGUGUGUAAGCGCAGCGAUGCGUUGAGCUAACCGGUACUAAUGAACCGUGAGGCUUAACCUU